rnacentral:rRNA from 1 species
CCUACGGUGGCUGCAGUGGGGAAUAUUGCACAAUGGGCGCAAGCCUGAUGCAGCCAUGCCGCGUGUGUGAAGAAGGCCUUCGGGUUGUAAAGCAUUUUCAGCGGGGAGGAAGGCGGUGAGGUUAAUAACCUCAUCGAUUGACGUUACCCGCAGAAGAAGCACCGGCUAACUCCGUGCCAGCAGCCGCGGUAAUACGGAGGGUGCAAGCGUUAAUCGGAAUUACUGGGCGUAAAGCGCACGCAGGCGGUCUGUCAAGUCGGAUGUGAAAUCCCCGGGCUCAACCUGGGAACUGCAUUCGAAACUGGCAGGCUAGAGUCUUGUAGAGGGGGGUAGAAUUCCAGGUGUAGCGGUGAAAUGCGUAGAGAUCUGGAGGAAUACCGGUGGCGAAGGCGGCCCCCUGGACAAAGACUGACGCUCAGGUGCGAAAGCGUGGGGAGCAAACAGGAUUAGAUACCCGAGUAGUC